AUACGUAGGUGGCAAGCGUUGUCCGGAUUUACUGGGUGUAAAGGGCGUGUAGGCGGGCUGUCAAGUCAGAUGUGAAAUCUAUGGGCUUAACCCAUAACGUGCAUUUGAAACUGACGGUCUUGAGUGGUGGAGAGGCAGGCGGGAUUCCUAGGGUAGCGGUGAAAUGCGUUGAUAUUAGGGGGAAACCCAAUGGCGCAGGCGGCCUGGUGGACAUUAACGGACGCUGAGGCGCGAAAGCGUGAGGAGCAAACAGGAUUAGAUGCCCUGGUAGUCCACGCCGUAAACUAUGAAUACUAGGGGUAGGGGGACUGACCCCUCCUGUGCCGGAGUUAACACAAUAAGUAUUCCACCUGGGGAGUACGGCCGCAAGGUUGAAACUCAAAUGAAUUGACGGGG
rnacentral:rRNA from 1 species